rnacentral:miRNA from 1 species
ACAAGAAAUCGCUAGCUUCCGA